rnacentral:rRNA from 1 species
AUUGAACGCUGGCGGCAUGCCUUACACAUGCAAGUCGAACGGUAACAGGUCUUCGGAUGCUGACGAGUGGCGAACGGGUGAGUAAUACAUCGGAACGUGCCUAGUAGUGGGGGAUAACUACUCGAAAGAGUGGCUAAUACCGCAUGAGAUCUACGGAUGAAAGCAGGGGAUCGCAAGACCUUGUGCUACUAGAGCGGCCGAUGGCAGAUUAGGUAGUUGGUGGGAUAAAAGCUUACCAAGCCGACGAUCUGUAGCUGGUCUGAGAGGACGAUCAGCCACACGGGGACGGAGACACGGCCCAGACUCCUACGGGAGACAGCAGUGGGGAAUUUUGGACAAUGGGCGCAAGCCUGAUCCAGCAAUGCCGCGUGCAGGAUGAAGGCCUUCGGGUUGUAAACUGCUUUUGUACGGAACGAAAAGCCCCGGGUUAAUACCUUGGGGUCAUGACGGUACCGUAAGAAUAAGCACCGGCUAACUACGUGCCAGCCGCCGCCGUAA